GACGAACGCUGGCGGCGUGCUUAACACAUGCAAGUCGAGCGGUAAGGCCCUUUCGGGGGUACACGAGCGGCGAACGGGUGAGUAACACGUGGGUGACCUGCCCUCAGCUCUGGGAUAAGCCUGGGAAACUGGGUCUAAUACUGGAUAUGACUCCACGGUGCAUGUCGUGGGGUGGAAAGCCUUGUGCGGCUGAGGAUGGGCCCGCGGCCUAUCAGCUUGUUGGUGGGGUGANGGCCUACCAAGGCGACGACGGGUAGCCGGCCUGAGAGGGCGACCGGCCACACUGGGACUGAGACACGGCCCAGACUCCUACGGGAGGCAGCAGUGGGGAAUCUUGGACAAUGGGCGCAAGCCUGAUCCAGCCAUGCCGCGUGAGUGAUGAAGGCCUUAGGGUUGUAAAACUCUUUCGCCGAGGACGAUAAUGACGGUACUCGGAGAAGAAGCUCCGGCUAACUUCGUGCCAGCCGCCGCCGUAAG
rnacentral:rRNA from 1 species